rnacentral:rRNA from 1 species
CGUCGGAUGUGAAACUCUGGGGCUUAACCCCAGACCUGCAUUCGAUACGGGCGAGCUUGAGUAUGGUAGGGGAGUCUGGAAUUCCUGGUGUAGCGGUGGAAUGCGCAGAUAUCAGGAGGAACACCAAUGGCGAAGGCAGGACUCUGGGCCAUUACUGACACUGAGGAGCGAAAGCGUGGGGAGCGAACAGGAUCAGAUACCCUGGUAGUCCACGCCGUAAACGGUGGGCACUAGUUGUGGGGACCUUCCACGGUCUCUGCGACGCAGCUAACGCAUUAAGUGCCCCGCCUGGGGAGUACGAUCGCAAGAUUAAAACUCAAAGGAAUUGACGGGGCCCCGCACAAGCAGCGGAGCAUGCGGCUUAAUUCGACGCAACGCGAAGAACCUUACCAAGGCUUGACAUAUACAGGAAUAUGGCAGAGAUGUCAUAGCCGCAAGGUCUGUAUACAGGUGGUGCAUGGUUGUCGUCAGCUCGUGUCGUGAGAUGUUGGGUUAAGUCCCGCAACGAGCGCAACCCUCGUUCUGUGUUGCCAGCAUUUAGUUGGGGACUCACAGGAGACUGCCGGGGUUAACUCGGAGGAAGGUGGGGAUGACGUCAAAUCAUCAUGCCCCUUAUGUCUUGGGCUGCACGCAUGCUACAAUGGCUGGUACAAACGGCUGCAAUACCGCAAGGUGGAGCGAAUCCGAGAAAGCCAGUCUCAGUUCGGAUUGGGGU